rnacentral:piRNA from 1 species
UCACAGGAUGGCCACAAUGAAUUGAAGUGU